UUCAAAAGAUGUUGAACAGUUUGUUUUGUUUAGUCUAACUCAGGCAGGACGUGAAGCAUUUAAUCACAGCAUCCCUUGCAAAAGGAAUAUAUGAGAGACUAUACCAGGUCAGUGCUAAGAAGUGG